rnacentral:rRNA from 1 species
AGCGACAGGCCUAACACAUGCAAGUCGAGGGGCAGCACAAGGAGCAAUCUGAGGUGGCGACCGGCGCACGGGUGAGUAACACGUAUGCAACCUGCCUGUAAGCGGGGAAUAACCCGUUGAAAGACGGACUAAUACCGCAUAAUACUAAAUUACUGCAUGGUAAUUUAUUUAAACAUUUAUGGCUUACAGAUGGGCAUGCGCAUGAUUAGCUAGUUGGAGAGGUAACGGCUCCCCAAGGCAACGAUCAUUAGGGGUUCUGAGAGGAAGGUCCCCCACACUGGUACUGAGACACGGACCAGACUCCUACGGGAGGCAGCAGUGAGGAAUAUUGGUCAAUGGACGAGAGUCUGAACCAGCCAAGUCGCGUGCAGGAAGAAUGUUCCCUAUGGAUUGUAAACUGCUUUUGCAGGGGAAUAAAGUGCAUCACGUGUGAUGUUUUGUAUGUACUCUGCGAAUAAGGAUCGGCUAACUCCGUGCCAGCCGCGGC